ACGUCACUUUGUAGGUACCCGGUUUAUUUUUAUGCAUCGUUUUCCUCUCGCGACAGGCAAUGGACACGAUUAUCGUUUAUUAAAUUAUCACUAUAAUUAUUAUUAAUUAUUAUUAAUAGCAAUAUUAUUAUUAAUUAUUAUUAUCAUUAUUAUUAUUCAUUUUAUUUUUAUUAUUACUCUUUUUAUCAGUAUUACCUUUUUUUUUUUACCGUUAGUAAUAGUAGAGUAAUUAGUAGUAAUCGUUAUCGUUAUCAUUAUUCAUAGUAUUAGCAUUAGAGUUAAUACUAAACGUUCAUUAUCGUUUAAUCGUUAUCAUUAUUAUUAUUAUUAUUGUUAUCAUUAUUGUGAUUAUUACGAUUUCCCUUUGUCGGCUGGUUGCUUUUUUUUUCUUUUUCGUUUUUUUUAUUUAAUUCGACAUUUUAUAUGUUUUUGUCGUCUCUGAUUACCGAUAUUGCGCGUUCUAAGGUCGCUCCAAGUUUUUCUUGCUGGAUGUGCAAAGAUCGUAUACGAGGGUAUCGCGUUCAAUGACGUCCAAUAUAUAUAUAUAAU